GAAAUGGGGAGUGACUGCUAAUGGAUAUGGCAUUUCUUUUGAGGGGGAUGAAAAUGGUCUAAAAUGGAUUAUGGUGAUAGCUGCACAGCUCUGUGAAUAUACUAAAAACCACAGAAUUGUACACUUAAAGUAAGUGAGCUGUAUGCAUGUAAACUAUAUCUCAAUGAAGCUGUUAUUAAAAUAAUAAGGCAUCCAACAUUUUUAGAACAGAGGACCUAAAAAAAAGUCAAAACAUCUAGUGACAUGUCACCCAUCAAUCAAAGAAUUCACAUUCUGAUAGUAAUUUUUUUAAAGCUAGAGAUCACAAGAAACAAAAAUGUCAGCAUAGAUUCUUAGGAACAUUUCAUAAGAAUUAAUUUUGGCUUUAAGUAUAUAUAUUUUUUCCCAGAUAUACAAGAUACCUAAACAGAUGUAGUACCAGACAAAUAUAACCUUAAAAUCUAAAAAUCUGGAAAAGUGAGUCAAGUUCAGCUUAUCAAGCUGACACCUAUUAAACUGCUACAAGAAAAACAGUCUUAAACACCAUCAAUAUCAAUACAGACAGGAAAAUCAUUGUUUAUGAUAGCUAUCGAGGGCAAGUUUUUUGUUUUGUUUUGUUUUGUUUUUAAUUUUGCAUUUACUUAAAACUCUGUUUGAUGCUAGCAGGGUUCAAGUCACACAGGAAGGUGCUCGGCUAAACACUGAUCAUCUUCCUUGAUCUCCAUUGUCUGCUGUGUGGGUUCCGCCAGCAAACCUCCCAGUGAGUGGUCACCUUCCUAUGGAGUCAUUAAACCUCUGAAUGUCAGCUGGUGGGAUUAGCCAGCAGCUUCCACACCUGAGCCCCCGUGGCAGGGACAGAGGCAUUUGGAUCAAGAUCACUAAUGAAUACAGAAUUCAUAUGCCGCUUGUCAGGGCUCCUGAGCUGAGUCGCACAGAUGCAACCUAAAUAAGACGGAGGACAGAACAAUUGUUGACGAAGAUUAAAAAGUUCUGGCAGUUGGGGUAAAAAGAACACCUCAUUAUUCAAAUAUGAUAGUCUUGCUUAUUUAUUUAUUUUUGGUUCAAGUUAUUCAUGAUUUGCCUCAAAUGGACAAAUGCCAUUCACCAAUAUUUAAAGGCUUAUUGGUCUCAUUACUAAAUUUGAAGAAGGCUAUGCCAUCUGAACAUUAGCUAUAUAGAGAAAAACAGCUCCCCUGUAAAUAUUUGAAAACUCUGAGGGAAAAAACAACCUCAGGAUAUUUGCGGGGGAGGACAAUUAAAAGAUGAAAAUAAAUUCUGAUGAAUUCAAAGAGAAGAAAAAAAAAACCUUCCAUAGCCAAAUGACUUACUUAUAUUUCCCAAUAUCUCUGUAUUUCUAACUUUGCAUCUUUCCAUCCCUGGGUUCCUUCCAGUCACUGAGCUCACCAAAGAGGUUUAUACACCUCCUCUGACAUUCGUCUGGCUUUGUGCCAUCUUCACAAGACCUCGUCAGAGAAAAGGAAUAGCCCAAGCAGCCCACACCUCUGCUCACCUGGAAUAAGAUGUCUUCCCCACUCUGUUGUCAAAGAACUACAGGCCUAGCAAAGAGGCAGAAGAGCAGGGUGAUCGAUCACAUCGGAGGGCCAGACUGACGAGGGUUCAAACCAUGAUUCCAUCGCUGCCCAGCUGUGUGACCUCGGCACACCAUUGAGGCCCUCCCAGCCCUGCACGACUGCCAAGCUGCUCCAGGCGGAACCACCACAGCAAGCACAAGCUCUUAUGAAAGCAAAACCAG